GAUCUACAGGGGAAGUGGCACUGGUGUCCUUGCUUGCUAUCAUUAUAUAUAACAUACAUUUGCAAAGAGAAUUCUUCAGUAGAAACAGAGUAUACAUGUGGAAUCUCCUAGAAACCCGUUAGACAGAAGCACAACUGCUCUGUGACACAGCCAUAUCAAAACUGCUAGGAAGGUUCAACAUGCCACUGUGCAUCUGGAAUUUAGAUUUUCUGAUGAAACUAUGGUUUCUUGAUUUCUUUUCUCUAAAGUAUUUAACUGUGAAUAUUAAAACUUGAAGACAACAGAGUUUAAAACUUCUUCAAACUCACCACCUAACUAUCCAACAGAAAAAGAUUUGUUAAGUCUCUUGUAUUAAUGUUGUAGGGACAUUCCUUCACAUCAAAUACCUUUCUACCUUUAGAAAUACAAAGGAAUUGAAUUUUAGAGUUUGGGGGUCCUCAGAGAAAAUGUCAUGCAUAUUUUCUAGAGAGGGACAGGAGAUGUGUAAGGUCACCCAGUUUGGUAGCAGCAAAGCCCAGGAGCACAUUUCCAAAGAGGCUGCUGGUUACAGAGGCGCUUCCUCUCCCACUUACAUUUCGUCAGGACCCUGCCUGACAACUUGGAGCCUC
rnacentral:lncRNA from 1 species